rnacentral:rRNA from 1 species
UCCAGACUCCUACGGGAGGCAGCAGUGGGGAAUAUUGCACAAUGGGGGAAACCCUGAUGCAGCGACGCCGCGUGAGCGAUGAAGUAUUUCGGUAUGUAAAGCUCUAUCAGCAGGGAAGAAAAUGACGGUACCUGACUAAGAAGCCCCGGCUAACUACGUGCCAGCAGCCGCGGUAAUACGUAGGGGGCAAGCGUUAUCCGGAUUUACUGGGUGUAAAGGGAGCGUAGACGGCGGUGCAAGCCAGAUGUGAAAGCCCGGGGCUCAACCCCGGGACUGCAUUUGGAACUGUGCUGCUAGAGUGCCGGAGAGGCAGGCGGAAUUCCUAGUGUAGCGGUGAAAUGCGUAGAUAUUAGGAGGAACACCAGUGGCGAAGGCGGCCUGCUGGACGAUGACUGACGUUGAGGCUCGAAAGCGUGGGGAGCAAACAGGAUUAGAUACCCGCGUAUC